rnacentral:piRNA from 1 species
UGCCAUGUGACGAGCUGCUGUUCCAA